UGACUCAGUUGGUAGAGCAUGGCGCUUGCAUCGCCAGAGUUGUGGGUUCGAUUCCCAC
rnacentral:tRNA from 1 species